rnacentral:lncRNA from 1 species
GGAGGGAGAAACUCAUCAAUUAUUUCUCAUGACAUUAUGACUUUCUAAAGCAUCCUUUGUACCCAUUUAUUUUCCAAAUUUUUUUCCUCUCUUUUCUUUUAUUUUCUUUUCGCUUUUUUUUUCCAACAACUUGUAGGGUACUAGAAUUUUUCAAUCAAGAUCAAAGUUCAUAAUCCAUAAUCACACAUCUCCACAAACCAACUAUCCCAUAUCAAUAAUUUCCAAGCUCCCACCCAAUGCUAAAUCAAAGAAUAUGGAUAAUAAGGCUCAAAUGGGGCAAACUAGGAUCAUAUAUAGUAAAAUGACAAUUAUGAGAAAUAUAGGCUAGCAAAGAUAGCCUUCUAUCAUCUCAAAGUUAUUAAGCACACAAAGUGACCUCGAGGGAGAACCCAAGACAAGUUCUAGUGAGAAACAUGCAUGCUCGAACAAUCACGCAAGAAUAAGAAAUAAGACUGUU